GGAAGGUAACCGAAAUGGCUCAGGACGCUGGGUGCUAACCAGUCGCCCCGGAAACGGGGUUGGUCAGGGUUCGAUUCCCCCACCUUCCGC
rnacentral:tRNA from 1 species